AAUACAAGGCCAAGUGGGCUAUGAAAAAGCUGAACUUGAACUUAGGAAAAUCUAGCAGACAUAGGAUGCUACUACUCCUAGAACAUACUAUCUCCUCCGUUCCUUUUUAAUUGUCACUUUUGCAUAAAUUUUUUGUUUCUAAUUAACUGUCACUUUCAAAGUUCAAUGCAACAUUAAAUGUUGUUUUACCUUUAUUACCCUUGAUUAUUUAUUGUAGAGAGAUAAGUAUAUGAAAUAAGAUAUUAAAUGAUGAAGGUUUUUAUAGAAAAAAGAUGAAUUGUUGUAUCAAAAGUAGUAAAAUGUAUUUGUUGUCUUGGUUUGUGUAAAAAACUCAAAAGUGACAGUUAAAAAGGAACGGAGGGAGUACUAUGGUAAUUAUAAUUGAAUACUUAUAGUUGAUGAAGUCCUUGAUUAUUUUGAGGGAAAGUCUCUCUUUAUAGGGGACUAGAGGUAGUAGUCAGUUAGACUGUGAACUAAUAUAGACAUACAAUGUGGUUUCCUUUACCUUUCUCUCUAUUUUAUUUUGAUACAGGAUGUUCUUUAUGGUUUAACUCGAACUAGUUUGUUUUUCAAUAGAGUUAAAUGAUUUGAUAAAGAAGUUUAUGUGUUUAGGAAAACCUAUUAAAAAAUAUUUUAUUAUAAUAUCUUUCAUAUUUUAUGACUUGGAUUGAAAAAUGUGUUUUCUUUUAAGAUCUUAGUUUACUUAUUUUGUGCCAAUAUUAAAGUUUAAUGUCUAUUAUUUUUUAAUUUUGUCUUCUCUAAUAAGUAAUAUCGGGUUGGAAUAAAUGUAUGCUGAUUUGAUCAUAGACGUUCUGAUUAAUAUUGUAUAGAGCUGUCAAAACGGGCGGCCCGGCCCGUUUAGGGCCGGCCCUGAAGGGCUUCGGGCUUUAUCGGUCCGGGCCAAAAAGCCCGGUUGAAAAAUGGGCUUGAAAUAUACUAUCCGAGCCCGGCCCUACACGGGCCGGCCUGUAUUAAAAAUUUUAUAUAUAUAUAUAUAUAUAUUUUUUUUUUAAAAAAAGCACUAUAAAAUACUCCUAUAAUUUUUUUUGAUAAAUAAUAUCUAGAACAAAAAUAAAUUGUAAACAUUUUCGUACAAACGUCGUAAACUAAAACGGCGAGGAAAACAAUUUUAAAUAAAUUAGAUACGUUAUGGUUAUAGAUAUUUAUAUAUUCGAUCUUUAAAAUUAUAAAUAACGAAACAAGUAAAUAUAAUUUUAUAUUACAUGUAUAUUUGUGUCAAUUCAUUGAAUUUUCACUUUUAUUUAUUACUUUGAUAAUCAACUAAGUAAAGAAUUUUUUGAUAAAUAUAUAUAAUUUAUAGGAUUUUUUUUGUUAUGCGGGCUAGCGGGCUACCCUUGGCCCGUUCGGGCUGGCCCUAACGGGUAGCAGGCUUUUUAGGUCCGGGCUAAAAAGCCCUAUUGAAAUUCGGGCUCAAUAUUUAAGGCCCAAGCCCUAUAAUUAAUCGGGCUAAACGGGCCGGCCCAUACGGCCCGGCCCGUUUUGACAGCUCUAAUAUUUUACAAUGAUCAUGAUUUUAAAAUAUUAGGCAUUAAGGAAAGUUUUGUUAUUGUGGAUUUUUCAAAAGAUGAUGGAGAGUUACCUUGAUAUUAAAGGCUUUUGAAAACAUGAGUUUUUAUCUGCAAAUGAAUUUCAUUAUUUAACGAUAAAUAUCAAAUAUUUUAUUUUUAGUGUAGAGUGUCACAACAUCGAUCAUAUAAUAUUGUCAACAACAAAAUGCAUCUUAUGUUACUUUUAAUUUAGAAAAAAUUGUGUUGGCACCACUUAGGUUCAUUAUUUAUAAAAUUAGUUUUAUUUUUCGACGUUUAUCUUUAUUAAUUAUCAUUUCAGACUUAUCCCUUAUCUAUUAUGAAAGGCUAAUAUAAAUUAAAAAUAUAUAUAAUAAAAAUUUAAUGAGCAUCAAGUUUAAACACAACACAAUGAUCUAUUUUAAAGACCUUUAACAAUAACUUCAAUUUAUUAAUGAUCUCUUACAACUUCUUAAGGGUAAAAAACUAUUAUCUUGGUAUUAACAAAGCAAGAAAUUUUUAUUUAUAAAGUUUAAAAACACAUUUUAUUUAUUAGAUGUAAAGGAGAAAAAUAUGGCUCAAAUUCUUAAACUUGUUUAUGCUUUCACAAUCUUUCUUUUUAUAUUUCUUGUGGUAACCAAUGGACGUGAGUAGUUUCUGACAUUAAUUUCUUCUUAAUGUUAUAUACAUAAUAUUCCCUCCGUCUCAAAAUAUAAGUAAAUUUUACUUUUUAGGUUCAUUCAAUUAAUGAUGUAUGUGAUUUAUAAUAUGGACCACAUACAUCAUUAAUUGAAUGAACCUAAAAAGUAAAAUUGACUUAUAUUUUAAAACAGAGGGAGUAUUUCAUUACCUCGUGGUAACAUUGAUUUGUUGUUGUUUGACUUUGCAGAAGAAUGUAAAGAUGAUGGUGAUUGUCCAACAAAUAUGUGUCUCCCUUCUCUAGUUUCGAAAUGCAUUAAUUUUAUUUGUGAGUGCACACAUUCGAUGAGUACUGAUUAAUAUUAAAAAUACCUAUAUGUUAUUAAAAAGCAUAUAUUUCAAUGGGGUUUACUUUCUUGGCAAGUUUCCUUUUCUUAAAAAAUAAUAAUUUGUAAUAAGUAUACAAUUUAUUUGUACUUCAUAAUUUUCCUCACAGUUUGAUUUAUAUUUUUCUUGCCUUUAAAUUUCUUUGAGAAGCUCAAAAUUUUAUAGUUAUAUUAUAAAAAAAAUUGUUACAUUCGUUGAAUUAUAUAUGUUAUCUAAAAUAGUGGCGGAUCUUGCCAAAAAUAUUAGGAGGAGCAACAAAUACUAACAAAUUUUUUAAUACAAAUAAUACUACAGACAGGUACGUUAAACACAAAGUAUGCGAAGAGUAGAUAAUAAAUUUCACUUACAUAUCUAACAUUGAACUGAAACAUCAUUAAUAAAGUGCAUUUUAAUUGAAACAUCAAUAAGAAAUUUUGAAUUAAAACAUUGAAAUUCACAUGUUGAAUUGAAACUUUGUAAUGAAACAAUGAGUUAGAAACAUCAAUAAGAAAGUUUAACCAUUGUAUCAGUGUAAAACCUAUUUGACACAUUCCAAAUUCAUAGCAAUUCAAACAAUCAAACAAACCAAUUGCGAUUUCCGAAUUCCAAGUGAAGAAACCAAUAGAAUAUGGUGGUAUUUUGGUCAUUUCCUCUAAUAAAAACAAAGUUACCACAUGAUUUUAUUUCGACAAUUUCACUACAUGAUAUAAUAAUACUUUCAAAUGACAUGCAUCACCUUUACGAUCUAUCACAUCAAUACCUAAUAGAUUAUUCCACAAAAUACUCCUUAAUGAUUAAUGAGUCCCAACCUGGACUCCGUGCUAGAUUUAGGUGGAAUUCUUUUCCAAGACGAAUGCAUGAAUAUCUCAUUUUAACUAUCCUAAUCAGUUUCACAUCAAAGUGUGUACAUUUCCUAAAAAAAAAGUAUGUACAUUAUUUGUGUAUUAGUUGAAUUAAACCAAACAAAAAUACAACUAACAAUAAAAUUAAUAAAUAUUUCAAUACACAAAAUAUUUAAUUAAUUAGAAUUUAGAGUUAAUUAAUUAAUUUUAAUUUUUUAGUAUCUAUAUUAUUAAAGUAUCAAAAUUUGAGGUAAAAAAAUAAUGUUAUUUUAUUUAAAUUCAAAUUUAAUUUUAUAAAAGGAUCAUCUUUGUUUAUAAAAAUAUUUACUAAAAUUUGUCAAUAUUUUUAUGUUUCUUAUAUUAUGGCUUGUAUUUAAAUUUAAAUUUAAAAUUUGAAAAAUUAUUGAGUUUUUAUGAGUAACCUUGUCAACAUACUCAUUUUGUUAUCUCUUUAUCCCUUUCUCUCUGUUCUUCUAUGUUGUACAAUAUCUUGCAAUACAUUAAAUUAAUUUCAUAACACGUUAUCAACACGAAGCUCUAACAAUAUGAGAUUGAGUAUGAUAAAGAGUAUGAUAUAGUCAUAAACAAAAGCAGAAGAUUAAUCACAAUUUCUACAAUGAAAAGAGUUGAAGAAUCUAAAGAAGCAAUUUGAACAUUUGAUGGUUCUACAUUUGAUGGUUCUAGACCGUGAUUCAUGUUUGCUAAUGGUUCAUUACAUCUCUAUGUUUUUAAUUCUUCAUUUUGUUUCAAAUUUUGUUUUAGUGAAUUAUCUACAAUUUUUUAAUUUCUCAGUGUAUAGACUAUGAUAAUUAGGCAAGGGAUAGCUUUAAUUUCGCACCCAUGAAGCUUAAAAAUAUAGAACAUGCUUCAUGUCAAUUAUUAUUUUUAUUUUAUAUCGCACAUAAAUUUUGUUGAAAAUGCUCUUUAACUUAUAAUUAACAUAUCUUUUUUUUCUUUAUUUUUGUUAAAUUCCAGAAGAAUUCAACAACAAAUCAUCCCUGAAGGAUAGUUCAAACAAUGAAGAUAUUUUAUGAUACAGUUCUUGAAGAACUAAUUUUUUUUUCCUUUUAUUAUUAAAUCUCCUUGAAGGAUUUCUCAAAUAACGAAUAAUUUAAUUUUAAGAAUUCAUAAAAGAUUGCAAAAUAAAAAUAUUGUGAUUUUCCUUUGUUCUCGAUAGAUGUUUGUGGUGAGUUCUUGAAGAACUAGAUCUUUGUUAAUAUCUACUAAAUUUACAUUUUUGUCAUGCCAAUCUAUUAUAUUUUUAUUGAUUUUUAUUUAGUUAACACAUUAGUAUCUUUGAUAUUCUUAAUAAAUUUUUCAAUAAUUUAAUAUCGAGUAUCCCUGAAGGAUUGCGCAAAAGAAUUGUUCUUAAUCAUUAUAUAGAUCAUGUAUAAUAUAAUUCCUGAAGAAAAAAAAAAUUAAGAUUAAAACAUCUCUGAAAGAUUGGCAAACAAUCAAAUUUGUAUCCUUAUUUAUGAAGGUUAUAUAUAUAUAUAUAUAUAUAUAUAUAUAUAUAUAUAUAUAUAUAUAUAUAUAUAUAUAAUAGUUCUUGAAGAACUAAAUAUUUAAUAUUAAGCAUCCUCGAAGGAUAGCAAAAAUUAUAAUCUUCAUUGAUGUUGAUAGAUUUAUGGUUGAAAAUAAUAUCUAUUCUAUCAUUGUUUUAUUUUAAAAAAGUAUUGGAGAGUUACGCGUUAAGAAAGUAAUGUUGUUCUCGAAGAAUUAAUUUGUUAUUUUAAAGAUCUCUAAAGGAUCGCUCAAAUAAAGAAGUUUCUUGAUAAUUGUUUAUGAAGAUUUGAAAUAUAACUCCUGAAGAACUAAAAUUUAAUAUUAAAUCAUCCUUGAAGGAUUGCAAAAAUUAUGAUUUUACUUGCUUAUUGUUCAUAGAGGUUUGUGGAGUUCUUGACCACAAUUCAAAUAUAUAAGAUCUAUUUGAUCUUAGAAUAAAUUACAUCAAAAGAAUUCAAGAAAAAAUUAUUUAUGCAUCUUGAAUGUUCUCCUGAAGUAGAAAAAAUUGAGAAAAUAAUAUCAAGAAACUUCUACACAUCUCAACUUCUUGAACCAACACUAAUAUAAUAAACCAAGUACCAAGAUGAUAACCACACCAUGAACAAAAUAAAUAGUUACCCAGAGAUAAUAUAUUGUACACAUGUGAAUAAUUUCCAAUUCAUUAACUAAAAAACAGAAUGACCUGUAAAAUAUAAAAUCAUUUUAAAGAAAAAAAGCAAGAGCACAAAUGCAAAAUAAAUAUGAGAAAUGAUAUUUGAACAACCAUUUUUUGACAACUUUUGUGACACCUUUCUCUUUCAUACUCACAUUAUAUUUUCACUUUCUCUUUCUAUUGCUUUGGUUUUUGUGCCAAUCACUUAUUUUCUUUGUAAAAUUUUGUUUGUUGCAAGGGUUAUCAUAUAAAAUGAUGUUCAAAUAACACAACUCAACAAAUAUAUAUGAACAGCUAAACUAAUAUCAAAGUGGCACAUAUAGAUUGAAUAAGAAAGAUGCCACUUUUAGAACAAUGUUAAUGGUGAUUACUCAAAGCAAAUCUUGCCUAGUUACAAACGACACUAACAUAUCAGUAAAUCUAUGUUUACUAACAAUUGACUCAUACACUUUUACGUCAUAACCAUAUAUAAUAAGCAGAAAAUAUUCCUCCGAUUAACAUAGAAUUGAAAGAGAAUGAGACCCUCUUGGUUUAAUAUGUGCUCUACAUUUCCAACUUUAGUAGACCGUUUAAAACCAAAAUAUCAUUAAUAGGGGAUUAGGUUCUCAGAUGAAAGGUACAGGGGGCAGAUUUGAGCAAAAUUUUGUGAAGAUUAGUGCAUUCAGAUUUUUAUUUUAUUAGUAAAGGAUUUCAGUCUAUUUGAUUUGGUCUUGCAAACACAAAAAUGGUGGACAACAAUGAGUUAUAACAAGUAAUAUGAUUUAAACAAAACACAAAGCAUAGCAGGUGCUACAGUUGUAUUCAAACAUCCACAAUCCAUUAUAGUUUCACAUUUUCUUAGAAUGCCAAUCAGAGCAAAAGUAUUUCACUUUCGACUCUCUCUUUCCAUCUUCUCUCUUCUCACUUUUAACAGUACACAAAUCACACCACCGCCACCAUCCAGCACCUCGCACUCAGAUCUGAACGCCAUUAACGUCAUCUAUCACCAUAUCAUCUCACCGUCACCACCACCACCGUUGCCACCGUCCUCACCCUCUCUCGCCUCUGUAUUUGUUCUCUCUGCCUCACACUCUUCACCAAAACAAAACAUCAACAACCUUUUAAAAAAAACAAAACAGCAGUAAUUUCACAGAUGUCGGAAUGAUGCGACGGCGGAAACAGAGAAGGCAGAAACAGAGAGAAGGCGGAGAGAAGAAAUAGCGCAUCAAUGAGAGAGAAGAUGAGUACCAGUUAAACAAUGGUAGGAUACUGGAUGCUGUGAUGAGCCAUCACUUCACAGGGGUGAUGAAUGAGGCAAGCAAGAGCAAGGGAAUAAUGUAAUUUAUAGAUAGUAAUAACACAUUUCAUUGGAACCCUAAUGCUUUGGAAACAUGCCAGAACUGAAUAUAGAUGAAGUAGUUGGGAGAUUUGAAUUUCAAAAUCAUCAUUAAAUGCAUCUAGGUAAUUACAUAAGUUUUGGGGGGAUUAGUUGGGAGAUCUGAAUAUUAUAUUCUUAGCGCCAAAUCUGCUUGGUUUAGGGUUUUUUAAAUGUUGUUUGCAAAUGUACAUUUGGAUUAGAUAUAAAGAUAUUUUGGUUUAUGGAAAUGUUUAUCAUUUUUCUAUUGAAUUAGAAUACAAGGCCAAGUGGGCUAUGAAAAAGCUGAACUUGAACUUAGGAAAAUCUAGCAGACAUAGGAUGCUACUACUCCUAGAACAUACUAUCUCCUCCGUUCCUUUUUAAUUGUCACUUUUGCAUAAAAUUUUUGUUUCUAAUUAACUGUCACUUUCAAAGUUCAAUGCAACAUUAAAUGUUGUUUUACCUUUAUUACCCUUGAUUAUUUAUUGUAGAGAGAUAAGUAUAUGAAAUAAGAUAUUAAAUGAUGAAGGUUUUUAUAGAAAAAAGAUGAAUUGUUGUAUCAAAAGUAGUAAAAUGUAUUUGUUGUCUUGGUUUGUGUAAAAAACUCAAAAGUGACAAUUAAAAAGGAACGGAGGGAGU
rnacentral:lncRNA from 1 species